rnacentral:piRNA from 1 species
UGAUUUGUUCAACAAAGCCAAUUUUUGUG